CACUAAUUUUUAUUACAUUUAUUUCAGCUUGAUAGUUUGAAAAAGAUUGGUGUCCGAAAGCCAAGAGAACAUGUUUUUUCGAUCAUGAAAAGGUUAUUUUCGAAUCAGUUACAGUCCAAAUUAAAUCGAAAAGGAAAUGGGGAAAA